rnacentral:rRNA from 1 species
UGCGUAGGCGGCGCUUCAAGUCAGACGUGAAAGCCCUCGGCUCAACCGAGGAAUUGCGUUUGAAACUGAAGUGCUAGAGUCUCGGAGAGGUUGGCGGAAUUCCAGGUGUAGGAGUGAAAUCCGUAGAUAUCUGGAGGAACACCGGUGGCGAAGGCGGCCAACUGGACGAGUACUGACGCUGAGGUACGAAAGCGUGGGGAGCAAACA